rnacentral:misc_RNA from 1 species
AACAGAACCCCCAAGCGUUACCCGGAUUUAUUGGGCGUAAAGCGUCUGUAGCCGGUUUGGUAAGUCAUAGGUUAAAUUUUGAGGGCUCAACCUUCAAACUGCCUGCGAAACUGCCAGACUUGAGGACAUUAGGGGCUGAUAGAGCUCUCGGUGGAGGAGUGAAAUCCGUUGAUAUCGAGGGAAAUACCAAAAGCGAAGGCAUUCAGCUGGGGUGAUCCUGACGGUGAGAGACGAAAGCGUGGGGAGCGAAGAGG